rnacentral:lncRNA from 1 species
GACACGCCCACGCAUCGAUGCCCUAUCCCUGCGAUCUCUUGAUCUGUCCCUUCGUGUUCGUCUGUUCGCGGCUAGGGCUUCCAAGCUCCAGCGCAGCAGCGGAGGCGCGGAGCGAUCAUCACUCAUCAGGAGACAGGAGUCAAGAAUCAUGAAACCAGUAAGCACCGGACAGGAGGUAGCAAUUAGUCCAGCCUCCAGCGUCAGCGAACAGCGAUUUAGUCCAGCCUCCAGCGUCAGCGAUUUAGUCCAGUCUCCAACUUCCUUCACGUUCAUGCAAUGAUGCAACAUGCAAAUAGCAAUUUUUUAUUCUUUUUUCUCAUCAGCAGGAGUCAGGAACGAGGAAGCGACAAGAAUCAGCUAAUCAGGAUUUAGGAACCGGAACAACAAUCAGGAUUCAGAUUUCAGAAAUCAGGAACAACCGAACAAGAACAG